rnacentral:rRNA from 1 species
GAAUAUUGCGCAAUGGGCGAGAGCCUGACGCAGCCAUGCCGCGUGUGUGAAGAAGGCCUUCGGGUUGUAAAGCACUUUCAGGGGGGAGGAAAGGCUCCGGACCAAUACUCCGGGGAGUUGACGCUACCCCCAGAAGAAGCACCCGCUAAUUCCGUGCCAGCCGCCGCGGUAAUACGGAAGGUGCGAGCGUUAAUCGGACUUACUGGGCGUAAAGCGCGCGUAGGCGGCUUGGUAAGUCGGGUGUGAAAGCCCCGGGCUCAACCUGGGAACUGCAUUCGAUACUGCCGGGCUGGAGUACGAAAGAGGGGGGUGGAAUUCCAGGUGUAGCGGUGAAAUGCGUAGAGAUCUGGAGGAACACCGGUGGCGAAGGCGGCCCCCUGGUUCGAUACUGACGCUGAGGUGCGAAAGCGUGGGGAGCAAACAGG